GUGCGCCUAUAUAAUCUACCGUUACUUUUAUUGGGUACGUUAGGUUGUUGUAUAUGUGG
rnacentral:pre_miRNA from 1 species